AGACUUUGUACUAGAAAGGCUGCUGUUGGUGGCAGAGCUUACAUGGCCAGGGAUCCCGGAGGACCUGGAAGGGGUUUUAAUGGACUUUUGAGAAUCAAAGUGAACUGCCAGGGACAAACAAGAGUGGCGAGGAAAUGGAAGCAGUCAUACCACUCAGGCUGGAAAAUCGCUCUAGGAAUGGCAAGAAGCUCUCUUCUCAUGAAAUUGUAACUGGAAGACCCAGGCACAUGGGAAUCAAGAUGACUGAUACAAAUUUACUGAAUGGGGACAUCUUGCACUGUUGUAAGGGACUUGUUCACCAGCUCAUGAA
rnacentral:lncRNA from 10 species